rnacentral:rRNA from 1 species
ACUAGGGAUCGGGCGACGUUAUUUUUGACUCGCUCGGCACCUUACGAGAAAUCAAAGUCUNUGGGUUCUGGGGGGAGUAUGGUCGCAAGGCUGAAACUUAAAGGAAUUGACGGAAGGGCACCACCAGGAGUGGAGCCUGCGGCUUAAUUUGACUCAACACGGGGAAACUCACCAGGUCCAGACAUAAUAAGGAUUGACAGAUUGAUAGCUCUUUCUUGAUUAAUGG